rnacentral:lncRNA from 1 species
UGUCAUAUAUAUAUAUGUGUAUAUAACACCUCUGUACUUACCAUUGCCAGGGCGUAGUCAAAGGCUCCUGGACUUUGCUAUACCUGCCAGGGCGUAGUCAAAGGCUCCUGGACUUCACUAUACCUGCCAGGGCGUAGUCAAAGGCUCCUGGACUUCCUGUCUGUGACUAUUGGAUCAUUCAACAUUUACUCACAUCAACAGAUAACUAUGCAAUGCAACAUAUUCGUGGAUACUAAUGCACAUAACCUACAAUAUACUCAUGAUGCAUGACUGAUGCUAAAAGCAUUUCAUGUUCCAAUUAAAAGAUUAAGUUUAGUUCCACUCACCUCUGGCUAACUGGACUGACUGACUGAGCAGGCUCUGAAAACUCUGGAGCAGUACUCACUGCUGCUCUCUCUGGUUCCUCUGGUCUGUACAGAUACAGAUAAAUGCAAAUGAGGG